rnacentral:rRNA from 1 species
AGUGAACGCUGGCGGUAGGCCUAACACAUGCCAGUCGAACGGCAGCACAGUAAGAGCUUGCUCUUACGGGUGCGAGUGGCGGACGGGUGAGGAAUACAUCGGAAUCUACUUUUUCGUGGGGGAUAACGUAGGGAAACUUACGCUAAUACCGCAUACGACCUACGGGUGAAAGCAGGGGAUCUUCGGACCUUGCGCGAUUGAAUGAGCCGAUGUCGGAUUAGCUAGUUGGCGGGGUAAAGGCCCACCAAGGCGACGAUCCGUAGCUGGUCUGAGAGGAUGAUCAGCCACACUGGAACUGAGACACGGUCCAGACUCCUACGGGAGGCAGCAGUGGGGAAUAUUGGACAAUGGGCGCAAGCCUGAUCCAGCCAUACCGCGUGGGUGAAGAAGGCCUUCGGGUUGUAAAGCCCUUUUGUUGGGAAAGAAAAGCAGCAGGUUAAUACCCCGCUGUUCUGACGGUACCCAAAGAAUAAGCACCGGCUAACUUCGUG